UCUUUUCUUCUUCUUCUUCUUUAAGUGGUAUUCACUAAUUCCUUCCUUAAAUCUAAAUGUAUCUCUUUGUUGAUAAUCUAGAAGCUAUGGUUCUUUAAUGAUGAGUAGUUAUUCCAUCUUAGGGUAAGUAUUUCAGCUCUGCAUGCUAAAUUCUAAAUGAGUAAGUCUGCAUGUGGUAUUUGAACAGUAAGUUGUAAGCGCAUGGUGAUCUGAGAUAAAUUCUGAAAUAAUUAUGAAUGAGAUAAAGUACUGUUAUAAUCAAGGUUAAAAGUUGAGUAUGAUCUUUAAAUUAAUGGAAUAAUUUAUUGAAAAGAGUUGUGUAUUUGUGUGCUAAUAAAGAUA
rnacentral:lncRNA from 1 species